rnacentral:lncRNA from 1 species
AUUGCCCAGGCGGAGUGUUUUUUCUUUUACUGAUAGUGAAAUACGAUUUUUUUCAUGCCCAGUGAUGUGUUUUCUCUAAGGAUAUGAACAGAAAUUGCUUUAUAGAAUUUGGGGGGCUGAUUACACAGUUUGGACUUUUCUCUACGUGAAGCUAUGAAACACUCAUUAACAAUGUCUUGUUAGGUUUAAGACUGAUUUUUCUGAUUAUGUCGUUACGUAUAGGCUGAUUUUAACUUUGUAAUUUUGUAACAAUUAAGUGAUUCCAUCAGAAAUACUUGAGAAAUUUAAACUUGCAGUAAGGAGCCUUUGGUUGUGUUUACUUCUUCAGUAUUUUAUGAAGAGCUUGUCUACUUAAUUGUGAUGUAGUCUUUCAGGUAAGGCUUAUUUCUAGGUUGGGUUUCCAAAUAACUUUUCUCGAGUGUGUUUGUGAAUGCCAUGCUUUUCCUUAUCCGUUGACAUUUCUGAAGACUUUGUAGUCUCCAUUUAAUGCUUAAUUUUUUAAGGUUCCUCUGAGCAGUUUGCUUGAAGUCUGUUUUUCCCUCUUAGGCAUUGACAGCGAAACACAUCUGCCUGAGUGAGGCCCCUUUGAUCUUCAGAGAGCUUUAUCUAAAGGGAGAUUAAAAAGAAGUCUGUCAGGCAUUUUCCCCAGGAAAUUGAAAGUGCUUCCUAAGAUUUCAGAUCAGGUGAAGCGCCUUCUCCAAAUUUAAGACAUAGGAAAACAGCUGUGCUGAUCAGCGGUGUAGUCAUUGGUUAGAGAUGGUGGAGAUUUGCUUGACUUGGUAGGAGGGACUAUUUUAAAUUUCACGUCUGGCACAGAAUUCAUGCAAUAGUAUUGAUGACCAGAAGUGGCUUUUCAUUAAUUGUACCUCUUCAUGUCCGUGAGGAAGAGACUAAUGAGGUUCCAUUUGUUCUCAGCCUUGUUGGGGCCGCGUGUCUCUGGAACAGUUCUUAACUGGGCUUUUCUAAAUUUAGAGUUUAACAAUUUCAAAAACGGGUAUGCCAACCUCCCUUCUCCUUUUAAACAAAUAUGUGGAGAGCGAUAACUUUGUCCCAGUCUCUGGGUUUGUACUGUUUAUCAGAAGCAAAUCUAACAGGUGUAGGAUCUGAUAGGUACUGGCCUUCAGAGGGGGUCAAGUAUUGACCCCCAAACGCUAUCUACAGCUGCUUAAAAAUCCCUUGAAGGUCCUCACUUUUAGUAAAGAAAGAGAAAGUCUUUAAUCCAACUAAAUUUAAUUUCUGAUGUACUAUUCAUUUAGCCAUUUAAAAGAGCCAGGGACAGCUAAUGACCUGUUAAUUUAUAGCAUAAAAUAUGUCUGUAAAAAUCUCCCUUGAGGCUCUGAUUCAGUCAAUGAGAAAACCUUGGGGAGAAAGCUGUGACAGUGGAAGAGUGGAAGGCAGCUCUUGGGUCUGAGGCUGUGGAAGGAGGUGAAACAACGUGAAAGUCUAAUGAAGGGUUAAGUCUACUUCUGAAAGGAAUGGUCGAAAGGACACAGAGAAUAAGGGACUGACCGGAGAAUCAAGCUUUCCAAAUUUCUUUUCAGAAAGUCCAGGCCUUUUAUGAAAUUUUGAGACAAUGGCUUAGCCCUACUUUCUUCCAAGCAGCCCCAAAUGGAAGAACAUAUCAUAUAAAUGUAAAUUUCCACUACAAUAAUUUGUUCACCUUGUAUUAUGCGCCUAAGGAGUUGGGAGGAUUCAGAAGCGGUUGGAUGUGCAAGGCAUUGCCUAUAAAAUACUCUUUUAUCACAUGAAGAGUUUGCUGUAUUUGAUAAGCAACUACCUCUCUUUCCCUCUCCAUACUUACACCCCAAAUGAGCCUCUGAGAUCCCCGAAGGGAACCUGUCAACAUCUGGCAAUUAUUAUAUCAGUUGGAGGACUAUUGGUACAGGAAACUUUAGUUGUUAUUGGUUGAUAACAUUUCGAUGUCCUUCACUUCAUUAAUUAGUUUAGGAAAACAAUUUGAGUUUCAUGUACAAGUGCUUGCUAAUUACUUGAGUCAUGAGAAGACAGAGAGAUCCACGUGUCCUAUUAAUUCCUUUGAGUCUGAAAAUUUUCUCAUAAUUGGCUUGGUAGGAAGAGUAAGUGAGGUUAGUUGCUAAUGAGGAGAUAAGUAUGUAAUUUUAGCAUGAUAUAAAGCUGUGAUUGUCAGUAAGUGGUAUUAGCAAGCUAGAUUAUUUUUUAUUAGACCUUGUGUCUUCCUGCGAAAUCAUUACCAUCUCCUGAUAUUGUAAAUUGAGUUACUUCACAGUUAUUUUUAAUAUGUGUUAAUCCUCAAACUACAGGUACUGAAAACCUUGCUAAUUAAGGCGUCAUUAAUAAAGUUAGCAAUAUGAGCAGUAAUUCAGAUGGAAUUCCGUUUUGUGUGUGUUUUGUUGUAAACAGUUUGUCUGAAAUAUUUGAAGUAAGUCAAGAACAAGAAAUGUUGUCAACUUGCCUACAUGAGCCAGCUUAGUUUGCGUUCAAGUGAAGGACUGGUAAUAUUGCAAAGAAACAUAUAUAACACUCUUUUUACCAGCCAGGAACGAAAUGAACGUUGUGUGGUCUUACAGUCCAUUCAGCUGUCUGUUUUGUUGUAAAUCUUGCCUGGUUAUACGGGUUUGAAAACGAACACAUUCUGGGACUUUAAACCUUUCGAUUAUAAUGUGAAGUUCAUCUGAAACAAAAAUUGAAGUGUUUUGCAUUUGACUUGUGGAAAAGUCUCUUUUCCCUCUUGAAAAAAAAAGGAACUCUUCAAAUUUUUCAUAACCACAGACACUUUUACUUGAAGCCUACCUUGUGGUUUUUUUCAGUUUUUUACUUCUGUAAUCUUUUUAUCCUUUUGGACCUUUGCUUAUGUAAAAGUAGCUUUACAGCAAACCUGAGUGCUUUCUUAUCCUUCAUCUGUGUCCUCUCUCCACUGUAUUUUGAGUUAACUAAAUGCAUACUUCCUUCUACUACUUUCUGUUGGCAAAAAGGAUUGUAAAUACUAUUUUGCAUCUCUCGUUUUUUAGAGAGCCACAAAAUUCCAUUUUUAGCUAUAAUGUUUACAUAAUUUUGAAGCACUUUGAGCUGAGGGAGGGGGGAUUUUAAAAAUUGUUUUGGGAGUUCCCAUUGUGGCUCAGCUGGUUCCAAACCUGACUGAGGACGAUGCGGGGUCGAUCCCUGGCCUUGCUCAGUUAGUGAAGGAUCCGGCUUUGCUGUGAGCUGUGGUGUGGGUUGCAGACACGGCUUGGAUCCUGUGUGGCUGUGGCUACGACUGUGGCUGACAGCUGCAGCUCUGAUUCGACCAUUAGCCUGGGAACUUCCAUAUGCCAGAGGUGUAGCCCUAAAAAGCAAAAUAUAUAUUUAUUAUAUAAGUAUUUAUUACACUUACUAUGUAAUAAAAAUAGUUCAGUUUCUACAUGUUACAUAUUUUGUCUAAAUUUUAUUGUCUGGCGUAUGUCCAAUAUGUUGCUAGGUACUGUGAAGGAAAUGAAAAAAAAAAUCAAUUUUUCCUGCCUAAAGAGGUUUAUUGUGUAAUGAGAGGGACAAGGCUAAUAAGUUAGAAAACAAUAUAAGAUAAAGAUAGUACAUAAGUAUGUUCUGAAAGAACAAAUAUCUAAGAUUAUUAUUUUUCUUUCUUAGCAGAGUAAUUGUAACUGAUGAUGACUAGUUCUCUAUUUCGUUAAAAAACGGUUACUUCCCCAUCAGGGGGCUUUAAAAUAAAUAGGAUACUACCAUUUGAAUUUUAAAGAAAUCAAAUCACUGUCUUUACUGAACAUCAGAAGGCUUUCAAAAUUUAGAACUUUAGCUUAAGUUACUUAAUUUACAUUUGAAGCAGUGGAGGCCAGAAACUUGCCUAAGUUACACAGCCAGUUGAGAGCAGUGCCAGCCAGCGUGUGAAUCUGAGUUAUUGGCAAUCCUUAGGGAAGAAAUGCCCAUAAGCAUUACUGACGUGGUGAAAUGAAAGGUCAUUUUUUUCACCCUUCCCCUCCCUCCUUGGCCUUCUUCCUCUUGAUGCUGUUAUUUUUCCAUCGUGAUCAGCAUCAUCAGUGUCGUUAUCCUUCCAUCUCAAUGGCUUCUUAACAGUUUACAAAAUGUUUUCGUACGUACCAAUUGACUUACGCAUCACAGAAACUUGAGAGCUAGUUUAAGAAGGCUCUAACAUGAUAAAAUACACCCGCCAACCAGUGAAAUAGUUUGAUAAAGUGAAGCAAGACCUCAGACCCAAAUGUCCCACUCCAAGUCUUUGCCAGGGUCCCUCAGGAAGCAGGGUCCACCCCAGAUCCUUUCCCAAACUGGGGAAUCAUUUAGAACGUGUAGAAAACAAGGAGUGAAAUUGUGUUUAAAUGCUUACUGUAAUUUCUUGGCUUGUGCCGUCUUAAAAUGCUUUAUAUAUGUACUUUUUUUUUUAAGUUUUAUUUUAGUGUAGCUGUUUUUCAGUGUUGUGAUAAUUUCUGCUGUGAUUCACUUAUAUAUGCACACAUGUCCAGUCUCUUUGAGAUUCUUUUCCCACAUAGAUUAUCACAGAACUUUGGGUAGAGUUCUCUGUGCUAUACAGCAGAUCUCCAUUGGCCAGUAAUUCCAUAUACCACAGUGUGCAUAUGCCCACCCCCUGCACCUGUCCUCUUUGGUAACCAAAAGUUUGUUUUCAAAGUCUGUGAAUCUGUUUCUGUUCUACAGUAAGUUCAUUUGUAUCCUUUUUAAGAUUCCACCACGUAGGUGAUAUCAGAUGGCGAUUGUUUCUCACUGUUUGACUAACUUCACUUAGUAUGGUAAUCCCUAGGAACAUCUAUGUUGCUGCAAAUGGCAUGAUUUCAUUCUUUUUUAUGGCUAGGUAAUACUCCAUUUUAUAUAUAUAGUAUAAAAAAAAAUCUAGGCUGGUUUGAAGAAUGGCUUUGUGAAGUUCUCAAACUUUGAGGAACCACCUGUCUCUAGAUGAGACUCUUGUAUUAAGUGGGAUGUCAGCAGUCCUAAUUUACUCAUAUGUCUUGAAUUGUUGCUUUUUUAAAUUUUAUCUUUCUAGUUACCGGCAUUCUACUUCUAGCUUCUUCCUAAACACAGACCCCCUAGGUCCCCAAAUCAGGUGCUACUCUGUAUGAUAAUGUUCAGGAAAUGGGAUAGAAAGUAGGUGAUCAUUUUAGAUCUUUGUAUUCAUUUAUUUUUCUUAGGCUAUUUCCCCAAAUGUGUAGAUAUUCUUAGCUACCACAGCAAUGAUGGGUGGUGGAAGGAUCUUGGCUUUCUAGUCAAAAUGGUUUGUCUUAGGCAAAUGCCUUGUCAUCUUUGGCCUUCAUUUUUUUCACCUGUAAACUGAUGACUGCCAUGGGGGACCAUGGGAAAGUUGUCUGCCUGUUGACGUCACAUCUUCAUAAGAUGUUUUAAAUACAUCUUAAGCUUAUCAUGUCCAGUAGCAGGUUCAGUCUCUCUCCAACCCUGACUCCCACCCAUGGGCUGAUCCUUUUUUAGCACCAUCCUCUGUCUAGUUAUACGUUUCUUCUUUCCCUUAUACUAUAGAUCUAAUCCAUUGCUGUUUUGCCAUGUUUAUUUUAUCCCUGCAUUUCUCUCUGACUCAUCUACUUUUCUCUACCUCUAAUGUCAUCAUAAUUAGUUGGGAUUACUGCCAUUUCUUACUUGGGUCAUUGUGAUAACAUCCUAACUGAUUCUCCUGCAUUCACUCUGGUACCCAUCAGUCCAUUCUGCACGCACUAACUUGAAUGCUAUUUUAGAAACACAUUUAAUCAUGCCAUUGUCUUGCUUAAGACCCUUCAAUUCCUUGCCGUGGUCCCUUCUAUAAAAUGUAGCCUGUAGUUAAGUCCAACAUGGCCUAGUACCUGUACUAUGCCUCUUGCUCCUAAUUUAUCAGCUGUUUCCUGUUGUCGUCAAGGCAUGGCUUGUUCUUCUUUCCAACUUGAAUUCCUGCUCUGUGCUUCCUGCCACCUUCCCCACUCCUGUCCCCUUUACUGCCUCUCCUCCUUUGCCUGGUUAACAACCACUCAUGCUCAGGCUUCCAGGGAGACUCUCUGGCUGCUGUGUUUUUGUAGAGCUCUCAAAUUGGUGUGGCUUCUUUAUGUAGACUCUUGCACAAUGGUGUCUGUUUCCUUCAGGGUACUUCUCUCUCUCUCUCAGAGGUGUGAUCAUUUGAUUUGAUAGGAAUUAAGUGGCACAUAGUAGAUCCUUGACAUUUUGAUUGUCUUGUGUUUCCUCUCCUCUCUGCUUAUUUUCCGACUUGAAAUUUAUUUCCAUCACUGCUGUUCUAUUGGAAACACAUGAUUUUAUCAGUUUAAUUCUUUGAUUUUUAAAAGUUGCUUUUAGAAGUGACUUGUUAACGUUAUGAUGCAUGCGAUUUAUUCCUCCUCCAGGUAAAAGUCUAUGCAAGAGUUGAACUACAAGUGAUGAAAUUGACUUGUCGAGUCAACCUUGUAUGAUUUAUCCAUUUAAAAAUAAAGUGUGUUUAUUUGUGCACAGUAGUCGUCAUGUACAGCUCUAGAUUUUCUUGUGGAUCCACAUUAGAGAAAAAUCACCAGGAGUUCCUGCUGUGGCACAGUGGGUUAGGAAUCCAACUGCAAAUGGCUCAGGUCACUGUAGAGGCACAGGUUUGAUCCCCAGCCUGGUGCAGUGGGUUGCCACAGCUGUGAUGUAGGUCACAGCUGAGGCUUGGAUGUAAUUCCUGGGCUGAGAACUUCCAUGUGCCACGGGUGCAACC